rnacentral:rRNA from 1 species
GACGAACGCUGGCGGCGCGCUUAACACAUGCAAGUCGAACGGAAAGGCCUGCUUUCCCUUGUGGAUUGCGGGUACUCGAGUGGCGAACGGGUGAGUAACACGUGAGUGAUCUGCCCCCAACUUGGGUAUAAGCCUGGGAAACUGGGUCUAAUUCCCGAUAGGACUGCAGGGUGGUGCCUGUGGUGGAAAACGAUUUUCUAGUGGUUGGGGAUGAGCUCGCGGCCUAUCAGCUUGUUGGUGGGGUAAUGGCCUACCAAGGCGGCGACGGGUAGCCGGCCUGAGAGGGUGGACGGCCACAUUGGGACUGAGAUACGGCCCAGACUCCUACGGGAGGCAGCAGUGGGGAAUAUUGCACAAUGGGCGAAAGCCUGAUGCAGCGACGCCGCGUGGGGGAUGACGGCCUUCGGGUGGUAAACUCCUUUCGACCGCGAGGAAGCCACCUGGUUGGAAGGGUGGUGACGGUAGUGGUAGAAGAAGCACCGGCUAACUACGUG